rnacentral:rRNA from 1 species
GAGUUUGAUCGUGGCUCAGAGUGAACGCUGGCGGUAGGCCUAACACAUGCAAGUCGAACGGUAACAGGUCUUUCGGGAUGCUGACGAGUGGCGGACGGGUGAGGAAUACAUCGGAAUCUGCUCAGUCGUGGGGGAUAACGCAUGGAAACGUGCGCUAAUACCGCAUACGACCUUCGGGUGAAAGCAGGGGAAUCUCUCGGGAUCCUUGCGCGAUUGAAUGAGCCGAUGUCGGAUUAGCUAGUUGGUAGGGUAAAAGCCUACCAAGGCCACGAUCCGUAGCUGGUCUGAGAGGAUGAUCAGCCACACUGGGACUGAGACACGGCCCAGACUCCUGCGGGAGGCAGCAGUGGGGAAUAUUGGACAAUGGGGGCAACCCUGAUCCAGCCAUACCGCGUGGGUGAAGAAGGCCUUCUGGGAUGUAAAGCCCUUUUGUUGGGGAAGAAAAACAACGGGUUAAUACCCCGUUGGUAUGACGGUACCCAAAGAAUAAGCACCGGCUAACUUCGUGCCAGCAGCCGCGGUAAUACGAAGGGUGCAAGCGUUACUCGGAAUUACUGGGCGUAAAGGGUGCGUAGGUGGUUGCGCCAGUCUGUCGUGAAAGCCCUGGGCUUAACCUGGGAAUAGCGAUGGAAACUGUGCAACUAGAGUGUGACAGAGGGUGGUGGAAUUCCUGGUGUAGCAGUGAAAUGCGUAGAGAUCAGGAGGAACAUUCGUGGCGAAGGCGGCCACCUGGGUCAACACUGACACUGAGGCACGAAAGCGUGGGGAGCAAACAGGAUUAGAUACCCUGGUAGUCCACGCCCUAAACGAUGCGAACUGGAUGUUGGGUCCAACUUGGGAUUCAGUAUCGAAGCUAACGCGUUAAGUUCGCCGCCUGGGGAGUACGGUCGCAAGACUGAAACUCAAAGGAAUUGACGGGGGCCCGCACAAGCGGUGGAGUAUGUGGUUUAAUUCGAUGCAACGCGCAGAACCUUACCUGGCCUUGACAUGCACGGA